GCCAAUGUGGCAUAGUGGUUUCAGUGUUAGACUAUGACUCUGGAGACCAGGGUUUAAUUCCCAACUCAGCCA